GGUGAAGAACGCAGCGAAAUGCGAUAAGUAAUGUGAAUUGCAGAAUUCCGUGAAUCAUCGAGUCUUUGAACGCACAUUGCGCCCCCUGGUAUUCCGGGGGGCAUGCCUGUCCGAGCGUCAUUGCUGCCCUCAAGCACGGCUUGUGUGUUGGGCCCCGUCCUCCGAUCCCGGGGGACGGGCCCGAAAGGCAGCGGCGGCACCGCGUCCGGUCCUCGAGCGUAUGGGGCUUUGUCACCCGCUCUGUAGGCCCGGCCGGCGCUUGCCGAUCAACCCAAAUUUUUAUCCAGGUUGACCUCGGAUCAGGUAGGGAUACCCGCUGAACUUAAGCAUAUCAAUAAGCGGAGGA
rnacentral:misc_RNA from 1 species